GGGGAGCAGAUCUGGGCUGUGAACAGUGGCUAAGGAAAUUUGAGGGUGAUGGGCACAGACGCAUAUCGUGGUCAUUGGUGAUGGGGGCAGACUUUUCAGGCAAAGAGGACGGAACUUGAAUUCUUUUUGGUGUUGAAUUGUUGGGAAGAAGGAGAGAGAUGGAAGACAUAGAUUAACUGUCUCAAAUUUCUAUCCUAGUUCAAUGAAAAUGCAUGACUUUAUUAAAAAGAAUAAUUCUAAAAGCACAAAUUAACAUUUGUAUAUUACUUAAAUAAAGCUAAUUGUCU
rnacentral:lncRNA from 1 species